UUGGGAAACUCUUUGAGAACUAGUGUACCUUGACUAAGAAACAAAGAAACUCUUUGAGAAAGCAGCUCAACCAGUUUUAUGAGAAUAAAUGUAGGAAUUAAUUAAAGUAGCUUUAUAAGAAA